CCACGUGUUGGCUCUGCGCGGCCGAUCCGCGCUGCUGGAAAGUUCCCGGAGAACAAACAGAAGAGAUUUAACCAGCGAAUGGGACCAUCCUGGAACUUUUGAUCCACGCUUCUUUCAGACUGAGUCGCAGUUGUUCCGGUUCGCAGAUGUUUGACAGCGCAGCAGGUGACCAGCGGGACGUGGCCAGCGGGGGCUCGGUCACAUGCUCGACCGGAUCGGGUCCUAAAACCACGUGAAACGUGAAGGAUGUGACUUGAAAGGAACGUGUUUUUUUUUUUUUUUUUAAAACAAAAAAAACCCAACCACAAUCCACCAUGAGAGCGCUGCUUUUUCUGUGCGUAAUAGCGGGACUGUGGGAAUCAUGCGUGAGCAACCGAAACUGCCCGGAUCUGAUUGUUGACAGCUGUCACUGCUCGGCCGAGAGGUCCAAUAAAGAGCUGAGCAGGCAGCACGUCAGGGUCAAGGUGGCGUGUGAUGAUGUGGACCUGAUGGACACCCUGCAGCCCAGCUUCCUGCCCAACAGAACCGUUUCCUUGAGUGAAGCGUCUCCUCCCGUCGGCCUGCUGAAGGGUCACACCUCUGGCAGAUGUGCUUCGCUCUCUCACGCAGAGGUCGUGUGAAUCCAGACAGCUUAAAGGUAACUCCUGGUUGCCAUCCAAGGACAAUACGAGUUGAAACGCUGUUUUGGUUAACGGUGUCCAGUAACCGGAGCUGAAAAACAACACAGGGUUUGGCUGUUGGAAGGAAAGCGGCCUUAAGGCGAGCACAUCCCCGCUCCCAAAGUUCACAUUGUGAUCUUUUCCCCACUCGCUCCUCUGAUUGGUACUUUGGAUGGUGACAUUAAGGCUAUUUCUGAUGCUGCUCUCCUGUAAUGAUACGCUGGACUUGGACGGCUGUAUGCAAGGUGGAACCCUCGCUCGUCCUUUAUGGGACGUUUCAUGAGAAAUGUUGGGGUUUUUUAGAGUGGAGGAGUGGAAAUCUCUGAGCAAUAAACCUGAUUUGUGCCAGUCUCGGAGCAAACUGGUCCUCAUGUUCGUAGAACAUGUUGCCCAGACAUUUAGCUUCCUGACGCACUUUAAUAAAUGGGCACUUUUAGGUUUGGGUUUAUACCUUCAGAAUCUUAAAAAUAAAUUAAACUCAGCACAUUUCUAAGUAAUUUACCUCAGUGAAGUGAAGCCUGACUGAGCACAUAGAUUAGAGUAUCAGUCCCUUCACUUAAAUACAGUCACUGAGUCCUUUUUUACAGUGUAAAAAGCUGAUUUUACAGUGUAAAAUCCCGUUUUGGACGGACCCUCAGAUGCUCCAGAAGUUGUGUUGCAGCAUGUUUACAUAUUGUGCAGUUCUGUUUCUCCUCUAAAUUCUCUGGACCUUCUGGAGAAGCCUGACACAGGCAUGCAGAGGUCGACACACAGGCGCAGACACACACACACACACACACACAUGUGCAGCACAGCACAGGACACGCUUGAGUUUGCACAAACAGAGGCUGUCUGUCCCCGAGUGGGACGUCCGUCUAUAGAGGGAGGUGCACAGCUCUGGGGAACAGUAGGGAGAUGUGGGACAGGACAGCGUGACAGAGCCGGCGUCCCAUGAUCUCACCGUGGACUAGCAUCAUCGUGCAGUCACACACAGGCCGCUGCACUCCUAAAGGGGGAAAAUAGUCCUAUUAUGACGUAAACCUAUGAGAAGGUUUUGGAGCUCAUUUUUAUCAGGUUAAACUUCCAAAUUCAUAAAUUCACAGGUACAAAAACACAGCAGAGAAGCUGGUUUCUGUCACUUUAGGAGUGAUUUUUCUAUGAUUGGGAAGAAGGAAGUUAGAUGUUGCCUAAAUUAUGGGCUGGG
ensembl:lncRNA